rnacentral:lncRNA from 9 species
GUCUCUGUGCAGCUCAAGAGCAGUUACCGUUCCUGAGAGCCGUGAGGUACUGAACCAGCCACAGUGCCACAGGUUUCCAUCCCAUCGGCCACGGCAUGGACAGUGCCCGCUGCCUGGCACCAGAGGGCUUUGGGCAUUGGCUCUCCAGGAUCCAGCAGCCCUGUGCACUCCCCCCGCCUCCCCGCCCAUGCCUCUCGAGCAGCAAGGGUCAGCUCCCUGAGACAACCGCGCAUGGAUGCCUCUUCUCAGCAGUCCUCCUAGUUUACUUUUUGGAAUACCAGUUCCAGGGCCAGUGCUCUCAGCCUGUGUGGUUUAAAUCAUUUACAGAUGCCGUCCAGCUUUUGUCAGUGCGUGUACACCUCAUUGCUUCAGCUGCACAUCCCACCGUUGCAGGGCCACCUCCUGGGGAGGGUUCUGCGCUAAGUGGGAGGCGUGAGUCCUACACCGUGGGAUCCGCUGGCUGUGAAGCAGGGCUGUGAAGUCGCGGGAGCUCCAGGGGGGGCUUUAUUGGCAUCAGUGACAACUUGGUUUUGGGGGGUUUAUAAGAAAGCACAAUCAGUGCAGAGCCAAGUUCAAGUCAGUCUUCAGUGCAGGACUGUGGGGCACUGAGUGAACCAUGCAGUUCUGACUGUCUCACGGAGAGACCUUGUCAAACACUAGCCUUACCCUGCAUGUUCUCAGUAUUGCUGAUUUUAAAUAAGCUGUCCCAAAUUCCAGAAUUUGAACGUGUAUUGUGGACAAAAGGCUCUGAGAGCCGUUGUCCUGGGCAUGAUAGGGAACAAAGUGUUCCCUGGUGCCGUAAUUCAGCGCAGUCCUGGGCCGGACACAACUCAGCCUGACUCCUCCCUGCAGGACUCCUCGCUGCCUUUAGCGCCACUCCCCCGGGGCGCGUGUGGAACGCAGCAGUCAUUCAUCUCCUUUGGUCACAGGGCCCUGUUUUUCUUUCCAGACACAUACGUGAAGCCCGGCGUUGGAAGAAAACACGUUGGCAGAUGCUGUUCCAGAAGGAUUUCACCUUCUCUCUGUUUGUAGGAGUGAAGUCUGGAGGCUGUCAUACAAAGGGUUCAUUGCAAGAUCGGCCCUUGGUGGUCCCUGACACGCCGUGCAGCCUGGAGACGUACCUCCCCUUGGGGUGGUUUUUGAACCCCUCUGAGAAGGUUUGAAGGGCAACUCACUCUCCCUGGGGAGACGAUGGGGCCACUUGUUCCUGCGAACAGGAAAGGUAGUAACUCGUGCACUUCCCCUUUGGGUUGGGGCGUC